rnacentral:rRNA from 1 species
GUGGGGAAUCUUGCGCAAUGGGCGAAAGCCUGACGCAGCCAUGCCGCGUGAAUGAUGAAGGUCUUAGGAUUGUAAAAUUCUUUCACCGGGGACGAUAAUGACGGUACCCGGAGAAGAAGCUCCGGCUAACUUCGUGCCAGCAGCCGCGGUAAUACGAAGGGGGCUAGCGUUGCUCGGAAUUACUGGGCGUAAAGGGCGCGUAGGCGGACAGCUUAGUCAGAGGUGAAAGCCCAGGGCUCAACCUUGGAAUUGCCUUUGAUACUGGCUGUCUUGAGUUUGGGAGAGGUGAGUGGAACUCCGAGUGUAGAGGUGAAAUUCGUAGAUAUUCGGAAGAACACCAGUGGCGAAGGCGACUCACUGGCCCAAUACUGACGCUGAGGCGCGAAAGCGUGGGGAGCAAACAGGAUUAGAAACCCUAGUAGUC